UGGUUCUGGCAUCGAUGAAGAACGCAGCGAAAUGCGAUAAGUAAUGUGAAUUGCAGAAUUCAGUGAAUCAUCGAAUCUUUGAACGCACAUUGCGCCCUCUGGUAUUCCGGGGGGCAUGCCUGUUCGAGCGUCAUUACACCCCUCAAGCGCUGCUUGGUGUUGGGCGCCGCCCGCGGGCGCGCCUGGAAAUCAGUGGCGGUGCCGCCUGGCCUCAAGCGUAGUAACUCUUCUCGCUCCGGGGCCCGGCGCGCGCUGGCCAUAACCACACACUUCAAGGUUGACCUCGGAUCAGGUAGGGAUACCCGCUGA
rnacentral:misc_RNA from 1 species